AUGAAUAAAAGGAAUAUCUGCCACAGAGAAAACAAAAAACCCAUGACAGGAGGCAAUUGGUCUGCCUUCUUCUUUAUUGUCACCCAUCAUCUAAUCCUGUGCCUGGUAUGUUUGCAUCUAUCAGAGGAGUGGAUGCAUGUGCGAAACUACUGAGGAAUACAGAUAUGUGAAAACCCUUUCAAUGUUAGGAAUCAGCAAACAUGGAUCACAGGAACUGAGGAAUGGGAGCUGUUGAGAGAGGUAAAUGUUCAAUUUCAGAGGACCACAACUACGAUGUUGAAGAGUUAUAAACAAUAAUUAGCAGGAAGUACAAUGACUAACACAGUGUGUUGAUGAUAAGAGUCUUACGAUGGAAAUAGUUAAUGAUUAAUUUGGUUACAGUAAGUUCUUAGUUAUAUAAACUUGUUUUUUUAAUGGUUUGACUGAACAAUUCAGAAAAUUCUCCUGUUAAUUACCACAUAUUUUUUACUUACUGCUUCAUAGAUAAAAACAUUAACCACAUUUAAGCUUCCUCAAAGACACCAUUCCCCCCAUUGCUCUCUUGUAUAACUUAAAUAUCUUUGCACUUAUGACAUAAACGUCCUUUGCAGGGAUGCCUCGGUGGUUCAGCGAUUGAGUGCCUGCCUUUGCCUCAGGGAGUGAUCCCAGUCCGGGGAUCAAGUUCCACAUCGGGCUCCCUGUGAGGGAGCUUCUCCCUCUGCCUACGUCUCUGCCUUUCUCUCUGUGUGUCUCAUGAAUAAAUAAAUAAAAUCUUUAAAAAAAACAAAAGGCCUUUGCAGUUACAACUCUCCAUACAACUUCUGGUUUGGCUGGUGUAUAAAAUGAAAUUAGGGAGGAGAGUGUGAUCCAAAAUUAAACAGGAGGCAUUACAUUUUCUAUAUAAAUGGUGCUCUAGUUCAGUGUAUGGCUGAAAGGAAUGGCACAUGUACAGAAGACCUCACUCAGUUUACUUCAAAAACUAGCCAGUCAUAAAUUGAAAAACGUCUCAUGGAAUCCAGUAACUUAAUCUUUUAACUGGUGGGACUCCUGGGUGGCUCAGUGGUUGGGCGCAUCUGCCUUCAGCUCAGGUCAUGAUCUUGGAGUACCAGGAUCCGGUCCUACAUGGGGCUCCCUGCAAGGAGCCUGCUUCUCCCUCUGCCUAUGUCUCUGCCUCUCUCUUUCUGUACCUCUCAUGAAUAAAUAAAUAAAAUGUUUAAAAAAUUGUUUUAGUCUUUUUAACUGGUACCUUUUUAUCAUCAUGUAGGAACCAAUGAUUCUAGGAAAAAAAACUUGUGAAAAACAUAAGCUUCUCAUGUAGAAAAUCUAUUGCUAGAGUCAAAGCCACUAAAUUAUGUGUAUGAUCUACAACAAGGCAAAUGUUUUCCAGGGCCUAUGGUGAUUUAUCUUUAUAAUGCCUGAUUGCCUAUUGUGGUAGCCAGCCUCCCAAAUGACUUCCAGUGAUCUUCAUCACACCCAUAUGUAGUUGGAGUUCACACCCAUAUGUAGUCCCCUGUCACAUCGUAUCAGGGCAGAUUUGUGACCAACAGCAUACAACAGAAGUUAUGGUAGAUCCCUUCUGAGAUUAGGUUACUAAAAAGACUAUGGUUUCUUAGAUAAUCAUGCCUUCUUCUUCUUCUCCUUCUCCAUCUCCUCCUUCAUCUCUUUGUAUCUGUCAUCUGGAAUCUCCCACUUGCCAUUAAUAUUAAAUCAGCCUAUGAGGAGGUUCAUGGCCAGAAACUAAAGUCUCUGGCCAACAGACAGUGAGGAAGUGAAGUCUGCCAAUAGCCAUGUGAGUGAACUUGCAAUUAGAUCCUUCAACCUUGUCAAGACUCAAGAUGACUACAGCACCAGCUGGUGUAUUGACUGUAACCUCUAGAGAGAGACCCAGAGCCAGAACCAACCAGGUAAGCUGCUUGCAGAUUUCAGACCCUCAGAAAUUUGUGAGAUAAUAAAUGUUUUAAGCUGCUAAGGUUAAGCAUAAUUUCUUAUACAGAACCUAAUUCAAGAAAUCCUUAGGAGGGUGAAAUAAGAAAAAGAGCUUAGAAAAAUGAUAAUAAAAAUGCUAUCCAACAGCUAACACAUCAUCAUGGCUAAUUCCACCUCCCAUUAACUCUAAUAGUAGACAGAGUGUCUCAAGUGUCUAAAGAGAGAUUUCAGUAUAACAAAUUCAGCUAUGAAUAUGUUCUCCUCAAAUCUCAUAAAAUAAAAGAAAUAUCACAAGCUGUGUUCACUAUUAUAGACAAACUAAAAUUUAUUUUGUUCUGUUUUCAUAAUGAAAAUUAACUGUAAUAAUUUGUUUUUAUAAGAAAAUUUUUUUUAAUGUUUACUUUUCCUCAAUAAAGAUAUAGUACUCUUCAGGACCAAGAAGAUAAUCCUGCUGGAAUAAAAAAAUACUAACGUUAUAUUCAUAAGUUAGCAUUCACUUUAAAAUCGAUCCAGUGUGUGACCAUCUCAUAUGUAGAGCCAGAGAUAUCCCCCAAGAAAUACUUAACUUUUAAAGAAGCUAACAUCUUGGGAUCGUUCUUCCAAACUGAAACUAGUAAUAUCCCUAAUAGUCAGCCUGUAGGAAAAAAGAAAAAAAAAAAAAAAAAAAGAAACAAACAUACUUUAUCUAAAGUAACUUUGGGAUGAAAUAUUUGAUAGUAGUUCAUGCUUUAUAGCUUUAAAUUCCAGGAUUAAUAUAUUUCAGAAAUUAUUUAAACUCCAGGAUUAAUAUAAUUCUAAAAGUAGUUAAAACUAUUUUGGCAAGAGAUGGCCCUCAAAGAUAUUAUACUUCAUUUAGGACUUAUUUGCCACAAGAAAAAAAGUUUUAAAAGAUACAUUUAGAAGAAGUACAAUGUAAUAAAUAAAGAAAUGAAAGUGCUUUAUAAAGCUGUAUAAUAUCAUAUAAAUAACAGGUAUUAUAAUAUUGGCAAUUACGAAAGCAAACCGUAAAAUGCAUUUGGGGGAAAACGUGUACAGUGAGAAAAAUAAAAGCUACAUAAAAGAAUGAGGGAGGAAAUUUAGACUCAGCCGUGUCAAAAGCAAUGUGCUUCUUAACCACUGAAAAAAAGCAUUUCCAUUAGCAGGACAGAUUUAAGUGGUUUAACAUUGGAAGACCAUAAUCUUCUGAGGGACGGAAAUCUAUGAAAAGAUCUGUGAAUAAUAAAGGAAUUGAAAAUAGAAUAAAGGGCAGAGGGAGGACAAGGAGAAGAAAAAUGAGUAAAAGGAUGCUUCUUAACAAUAUAAUUUGAAUUUAAAACUCAGAACAUCUGCUUUUAUAAAAAUCUGAGUGUAUUAGCUUAUAAUAAUUAGCAUCUUCAAUUGCAAGGAAGAAAUAAAAGGACUAUUAGAAGAAAAAAACACACCAUCUUGAGGACAAUAAAGUUUUCUCUGAUUCAAAAGGGGAGCUUCUUACAGUCCAGUAGCAGCUGUAUGUACAUCUUUCAAAGGGCAUUCUUCUGAAGGAAUUUAGAUCAGACAGUCAAUUCUUUUUUGGUAAUAAAAAAUUGUAUCUGUGAAAUGAUAUUUAUUCUCUAUUUGACCUUCUUUUCCAAUCUUACCAUCAUUUAAGAACUUUGCACAAUAAUAAGAAUGAUCUUUUCUGUUAAAAAGUUAAAAUUUUAAUUUCAUAGGCUCUUCCAGCCCAUCAAAGUAUUGUUAGAAAUACUCCUUUUCUAAAAAAGAAAAAUCAAAAGUUUUUGACUUUCCAGUUUUAUUUUUCACUUAAGGAAAUAAAUUCUUCUCUUGGUAAUAAUUACUAACAGAGUAUUUCCUUUCUGUAAUGGCAACUUUUAAGUUGUAUUUUCUAGGAAUUGUGUGAUUUAUUUUUAUUAAUUUCUGGGAAUAAAAUACAUUACUAUAAAUUUCCUUAGAUUCUGGGGAAAAAAUACCUAAUAAUAAUAUUUACUUCCGGAGAAUGUGGUUUUUCCCUUCUUGAUGUAGCAAAAUUCUAUUGCCCUCAGACUC
rnacentral:lncRNA from 1 species